rnacentral:rRNA from 1 species
AAUGGGGGCAACCCUGAUCCAGCAAUGCCGCGUGUGUGAAGAAGGCCUUCGGGUUGUAAAGCACUUUUAUCGGGAACGAAACAUUGUCGGUGAAUAUCCGGCAAGACUGACGGUACCCGAGGAAUAAGCACCGGCUAACUUCGUGCCAGCAGCCGCGGUAAUACGAAGGGUGCAAGCGUUACUCGGAAUUACUGGGCGUAAAGGGUGCGUAGGUGGUUUGUUAAGUCUGCUGUGAAAUCCCCGGGCUCAACCUGGGAAUGGCAGUGGAUACUGGCAAGCUGGAGUGCGGUAGAGGGUAGUGGAAUUUCCCGGUGUAGCAGUGAAAUGCGUAGAGAUCGGGAGGAACACCAGUGGCGAAGGCGGCGUACUCUGAGCCAGAUACUGAC